CAGGCCUAACACAUGCAAGUCGAGCGGAAACGAGUUAUCUGAACCUUCGGGGAACGAUAAUGGCGUCGAGCGGCGGACGGGUGAGUAAUGCCUAGGAAAUUGCCCUGAUGUGGGGGAUAACCAUUGGAAACGAUGGCUAAUACCGCAUAACGCCUACGGGCCAAAGAGGGGGACCUUCGGGCCUCUCGUGUCAGGAUAUGCCUAGGUGGGAUUAGCUAGUUGGUGAGGUAAGGGCUCACCAAGGCGACGAUCCCUAGCUGGUCUGAGAGGAUGAUCAGCCACACUGGAACUGAGACACGGUCCAGACUCCUACGGGAGGCAGCAGUGGGGAAUAUUGCACAAUGGGCGCAAGCCUGAUGCAGCCAUGCCGCGUGUGUGAAGAAGGCCUUCGGGUUGUAAAGCACUUUCAGUCGUGAGGAAGGCAGUAUCGUUAAUAGCGGUAUUGUUUGACGUUAGCGACAGAAGAAGCACCGGCUAACUCCGUGCCAGCAGCCGCGGUAAUACGGAGGGUGCGAGCGUUAAUCGGAAUUACUGGGCGUAAAGCGCAUGCAGGUGGUUUGUUAAGUCAGAUGUGAAAGCCCGGGGCUCAACCUCGGAAUAGCAUUUGAAACUGGCAGACUAGAGUACUGUAGAGGGGGGUAGAAUUUCAGGUGUAGCGGUGAAAUGCGUAGAGAUCUGAAGGAAUACCGGUGGCGAAGGCGGCCCCCUGGACAGAUACUGACACUCAGAUGCGAAAGCGUGGGGAGCAAA
rnacentral:rRNA from 1 species